rnacentral:rRNA from 1 species
GAUGAACGCUGGCGGCGUGCCUAAUACAUGCAAGUCGAGCGAACGGACGCGAAGCUUGCUUCUCUGAUGUUAGCGGAGGACGGGAGAGUAACACGUGGAUAACCUACCUAUAAGACUGGGAUAACUUCGGGAAACCGGAGCUAAUACCGGAUAAUAUUUUGAACCGCAUGGUUCAAAAGUGAAAGACGGUCUUGCUGUCACGUAUAGAUGGAUCCGCGCUGCAUUAGCUAGUUGGUAAGGUAACGGCUUACCACGGCAACGAUGCGUAGCCGACGUGAGAGAGGGAUCGGCCACACUGGAGGGGAGACGCGGACCAGACGACUACGGGAGGCAGCAGUAGGGAAUCGGACGCAAUGGGCGAAAGCCUGACGGAGCAACGCCGCGUGAGUUAUGAAAGUCUUCGGAGCGUAAAACUCUGUUAUGAGGGAAGAACAGAUGUGUAAGUAACUGUGCAGAUCUUGACGGUAACGAAUCAGAAAGCAACGGCUAACUACGUG